ensembl:lncRNA
GAGAAAGGUGGAUUCGGUGUGUCUGACACACUGCUCUGUCUAAGGCCAAGCCAUACACAGUGCAGUCUCCUCCCCUCUCCGGCUUGGCCUAUAUUAACUUUCCAUGGAGCUCCACCUCACAACCAGAGGCACAUGGAGUAGGAUAACACACCGCCAAGGCUCUGAGAAUACAUUCACACACAUAUAAACAGACGGUGGAGUGCACUGGGUCUUUCAAGCUUUCUGCCUUUCGGACUAGGAGUGACGGACAUAAAACAUACUCUUCUGAAUGGACUAUUGACUCAGGCACCAUGUUGCUCCAUUCGUCACUGGAGAAUUUCAGCCAUGAGCCCACCCCGGCCCGUAAGAGCCAGCCGCAUUGUCGGACACAUGGGCACUCACAUGGUCUGCAUGCGGAUGCUGAUGUAGACUUCUGCGGCUAUGAUGCUCCUUCCUGCACACCCACCCGUUCCCUCUCCAUCCCUCCAUUCACAGCAUCCACAGAGAGGGAGGACCGGGCGCUCCGCGGGACCAUCCGUAGAAUGAGGGAAUCAAAUCAGUGCCGUAUUUGAUUUCUUCACUUCUUUUCCUCGGGAUGUGUAAUCCUCGCGGAGAUCUGAUGUGACGUGAUGUCGGGCCGCUAAAAGAGAAACACCCUGUCGGUGCCAAAGGGAGUAAAUCCGCAUGGCGCAUGUGAGUGACCUGUCCGGGUUUUGUUUUUUUUAAGUCACUGACAAGACCACUACUGCGCGUCACUAAAAAUAAAUAAAUAAAAUGAAACAAAAAGCUAGAAAACAGCUUCGUUUUGCAAAGAAAAGACAAAUAAUACCAUUCGUACUAUUGAUGCUGCCUUGAGUAAAAUUUAACAAUGGUUGGAAAAUAGAGGGAUGACGCUUUCUCAACAGAAAUUCUGAGAGGCAAUAAAUAGGCAAUGAUUUUCUAUUUGGAGGACAACUCAAAUUUUAAAUGUAAAAUACUAAAGAGCAAAGUGUAAGCAAAUGAUGCACUGAGGUGUUUCAACUAAAAUGAACAGCUGUAUCUGCUCUGCAGGUUAUAAUGCAGUAUUUCCACCCCCCAGAUUUCCAGAUAGGAGAUCAAAUAGGCUGGGUAAAGAAUGUUCUUCCUGGUCCAUUAUCUUGUGGCAUCCUCAUUUUACGUUGCAUAAUAGAGCAAGUGACAAAAAACAAAACAAAACAAAAAACUCUUUCUAGAGGUUUGUUACUUCUGGGGGUUGGUCUAUUAUAAAAUGGCCUGCAGUUACGGCUGGUUGAACUUUGCAUGCAUCAAGAGGUGAUAAUGAGGUAAGUGAUGGUGAGGUUGCCUGUGGUACAGUGCUGCUAUCACUUGGACUAUAAACACAAACACUGAGUUGGAAUGAACUCCAACUUCAAAUGUUUUGAAUGAUUCCUGCUGUAUUCAAGUACUGCUCGAAGCAUACAGCUCCACCUAUAAAUAUAGAUACAGAUAUAUCUGACUGUCAAAGUUCUGGGCUGGAAACAAUAGAUUAUUUUUUGUGUUUUUAUUUUUAUUUCUUUUUAACCAAUUCAAUCACCAGUUGCUGACAUUUCAGCUGCUUACCAACUUAAUUGUUCAUUACACUG